CUUGAUUUCAUAUUUUUAUUAUUUUUAUUGAAUGUUCUUUUUCGUAGGAAAGUUGGAGUCUGAAAAAGAGGAUAUCAGAUAUGGAAGAACAGUUAAAGGUUAAAACAGAGCUGAAUAUGGAGAACCAGAGACUGAAGGACGAGAAUGGAGCUUUAAUCCGGGUCAUCACUAAACUGUCCAAGUGAGAUAAGAAGCAGGAAGGAUGAGAAGAAGAGUGACGGAUACCAGAAGCCAUAUCUAUACCUGCAUUCCUCCUACAUUCAUCCUAUCAUCCUAAGUCUUAACUUUGCCUGUUGAGUAACUAACAUUUGCAGGGAUAAAGACACAUUUUACAUCAGAUGUGAAAGCUUAAUGUUACUGUACUGUAUCCAAAGUAGUAGCACCUUCCCUGACAGAAAAUAAAUAUUAUAUAUAUUCAUGAAAAUAUUACAAAAAAAGGCAAAUGCCAACACAACUACUUCAUGCGUUUUUCUUACAUGAACAAAUUGUCCAGGAGUGAGGCAUUUAUAAAACUGCGUGAUCACAUCAAGAAUAUCCCUAGAUACAUAUAUGGACAAAAUAUUGCAGGUAUUUCCACGGAGGUAUUACCAUGGAAACUGCAAUAUUUCUUUUGUCCAUUCCGUAUGCAGACCUUGAAAAUCAGCUCUUAUGUAUCAGGGAAAGUGGAUGAUGGAUGAGCUAAAUUUUUUUUAGGAACGGGGAAGCGUCAUCUCUGAUUUACGAGCUUUAACCUUGAAGUAUGAUGUCACAAAUGACAGGCUUUUCUUCUUAACCGCAAUUUUUAAAAAAAAUCGUUGCGUUGUUGUGGAGCUUUCAGUCACAUCGAGAUCAUACAAAGAUCAUAGUCUUUAUCAGCAGAUGGUGGGAUGCAACUUAACUUUAAACCCCGACUUUAAACUCAACAUGACUAUAAGGUUCUGAUGAAGAUCGUGUUACAUGACCCAAAGCUCCAGAACAGUACAGCAAAAAAAACAUCCCAAUGAAAUAGAGGGAAUUCUAUUUUAUUUAUGUACCGUAUAUCACUUUAAUUUCAUGAUCAUCACGACUCAACACAAAGACCUGUUGUGUUUAUGUUAUUAUGUUAGCUUUAGAAGCACCGCCCUGGCUGUAAUUUAUCUUCUAAUUCAUAUUCAGAAGAUUUAAUGAGUCCCAUUUAUAAUCUUACAUUCACGGGAUCCCUGCCAGACUGAGAUUUAAUUUUCUAUUCUGUUCAUAUUUACUUUGGAUUAUUAUAUAAUCAAAUUAGUCUCUACAGUGUGUUUGCAUAUAUUUUAGAAACACAUACAAUUACAAGCAUAUUACGCAUAAACUCCGAUUAACACAAA